GCUCAGAUUGAACGCUGGCGGCAGGCCUAACACAUGCAAGUCGAACGGUAACAGAAAGCAGCUUGCUGCUUUGCUGACGAGUGGCGGACGGGUGAGUAAUGUCUGGGAAACUGCCCGAUGGAGGGGGAUAACUACUGGAAAUGGUAGCUAAUACCGCAUAACGUCGCAAGACCAAAGAGGGGGACCUUAGGGCCUCUUGCCAUCGGAUGUGCCCAGAUGGGAUUAGCUAGUAGGUGGGGUAAAGGCUCACCUAGGCGACGAUCCCUAGCUGGUCUGAGAGGAUGACCAGCCACACUGGAACUGAGACACGGUCCAGACUCCUACGGGAGGCAGCAGUA
rnacentral:rRNA from 1 species